AAAAAAAUCAAAAAACUAUGAUAACGCAAGAAGUUGUAGAUCUAAUUUUUGGGUUGCAAAAAAAAAAAGAAGAAAAGAGAGUCUCCAACCUCGUUUGAGAGAGGGGCGACGCAGAGCGGCCGCAGGGCGUCAGGCGGGGGGGAGGUGCGGCCUUGUGAGGGGUGUGGGAGAUGGAGAGAGAGAGGAGGAGCGGCAGCAGGGGCAGGGAAGUGUGCAGCUUGUGAGGGGUGUGGGAGAGCGAGGGAGAGAGGAGCGGCAGCAGGGGCAGGCAAGGGUGCUGCCUCGUGAGGGCUGUGGGAGAGGGAGGGAGAACACGAAGAGAGAGAGGGGGGGAAAGAUGGAAAAGAUCGCACGAAGAGAGAGAGAGAGAGAGAACGCUUGAAGAGAGAGAAUAUGAGUUAACGGACCCUUUCCGUUAAUCUGCCUUUAGAUCACAGCACGGAUCUC
rnacentral:lncRNA from 1 species